GGGAGGUGCCAGCCAUGAUUUAAGAUUGGCAGAAAAUCUUCAUGUUGCAGCCAAUAAUUUUCGAACAUGAAAAUAUGUGGCUUUGGGACUUUGGUGGCUGCUGUGAUGACACAAGGAGUAUGAUCAGAGGCGUCCCUAGAUAAGGCAGUUGCAAAAGUGUUAGGAAAAUUAGUUGUCCAUGUAUUGGAAGUAAAGAACCAAUCGAGCCUUUCUAGAAGGGGAUUCCUUUGCUUGUUCGUCCAGGUAUAUUGACAGCCCUUUAAGAAGGAGUUCUACCAAUCUGAGGCUGCUGAUAGCAUUAUUGAAGGCAACCAUUUCCUGCAGAUUACCCC
rnacentral:lncRNA from 1 species